CGACUCACCACUACCCGUCCUCUUCCAGGUCAGUCACAGCUGAAGAUGUUUUCUGAACAUGAUGAGGAUCUGAAUGAGAAUGAAGAUGCACUUAUGAGUGUAGAGGCAGAGGCAGAUGCAGAAGCAGCAGCUGCAGAAGCAGGAGAUGAAUCUGUUUUGCAUAGUAUUAUUGAAGAUGAAGAUGCCGAACCAACAGUGGGUUUGCUGCUUGUGUAUUCCAUGGACUGAUGUUGCUUAUUAUCUUCUUUCUUUCUUUGCAUUGAAAUCUUAUUGCUGGACCAUGAAUCAUGAAUCUUCUUAAUUUGUGUCAUAUGAAUAUUGUUACUUGCUCUCAAAUGUAAACAUGUACUUGUACUUUGUUACUUGAUGUUGCAUAUAAACAUGUAUUGUUACUUUCUGCUAUCAAAUAUAAACAUGUAUUGGUACC